rnacentral:rRNA from 1 species
UGGGGAAUAUUGCGCAAUGGGGGAAACCCUGACGCAGCGACGCCGCGUGCGGGAUGAAGGCCUUCGGGUUGUAAACCUUUUUCGCUCAUGGUCAAGCCGCAGCUUUGGGUUGUGGUGAGGGUAGUGGGUAAAGAAGCGCCGGCUAACUACGUGCCAGCAGCCGCGGUAAUACGUAGGGCGCGAGCGUUGUCCGGAAUUAUUGGGCGUAAAGGGCUUGUAGGCGGUUGGCCGCGUCUGCCGUGAAAUCCUCUGGCUUAACUGGGGGCGUGCGGUGGGUACGGGUUGACUUGAGUGCGGUAGGGGAGACUGGAAUUCCUGGUGUAGCGGUGGAAUGCGCAGAUAUCAGGAGGAACACCGGUGGCGAAGGCGGGUCUCUGGGCCGUUACUGACGCUGAGGAGCGAAAGCGUGGGGAGCGAACAGG